rnacentral:lncRNA from 1 species
GAAUCUGGAGCAUUCUACCACUGAGAUACAUCAUCGGCCCUUUUUAUUUCUUAUUUUGAGAUGGGUUUUGCUUAAUUAUACAGGCUGGCCUUGAACUUGCAAUCCUCUUGCUUCAGCCUCUUGAGUAGCUGGAAUUACUGGUGUGCAUCAUAAUGCCCUGUUUAAUAUUCUUAUCAUUUUGUAUUAUUUCUUCCAUAUUGUGAUUGAUAGAUACCCCUGGCAUUCUGUUUAAAUUCUUCUGAAGAGUUUUACAUUUUGUUUUGUUUCACCUGAAUUCAGACACCAAACUCUGUGUUUUGAAAUUACACAAUACCUGAAAUCUGUAAUUAGUUAAAUUAGUCCUAGCAGGGCUGCUUGAAGACUUCACUGAUCGUAUAUAAUCUCUGUGUCAGCCAGAGAUUUAGACAGUUUAAAACAGGAUUUGUUUUAAACUUCCUUUCUUUCUCCUUCCUACAGUAUUUCUCCUCAAUUUCUGUUUGCCAUUUCUAUCCUUAACUCUAUUCUCUGAUUUAAUAAGUAAGAUUAUUUCUGAGAUUUAUCUGUUUUGUUCAGCAUUGACCAGAGCCCGCACUCGGGUACAAAUCUGUGAAAACAGGGAAUUAACCCAAUGUUUUUCCUUUCAGUUAGUUGGUAGCUCCCCUCCCAGUUUUUUUUCUCUGCUUCUUAUUCUUCUUUUGUGCCUUUAGAUGAUUGUUUUCCAUGACUAGAGUUUUUAUGUCUAGAGCUUUAAGUUGUCUGUGGGAGGGUUGGUUCAAAACAUUACAGGAAGGUAAACUCUCUUUAUUUUUCUUUUGUCACAUUUAUAGCAGUAUCUUUUCUUUUAUGCCUUAUAUUCCAAGAAUCUUGCAGGGUUCUAUCAAUUUUAUUUAUAUUUUAAAAGCCAACUUUAAAAAAUUUUCCUUCUUUAAAAAUUUUAUUCCUUGAUUUCUUUUCUUAAAAUUUCUGUACUUCCUUCCAUUUAAUUUGGGCUUAAUGUGCUCAUCUUGUUCUAGCAUCUUAAGAUGGAAACUGAGAUUAUUGCUCUUAAGAGUUCUUCGUUUUUAAUAAGCUUAAAUUUAAAAGUAUAAAUAUCCAUCUAAACCAUCUAAACUCUGCUUGAACAGCAUCCUACAAAUUGCGUAAUGCUGUAUUUGCAAUAUCUUUCAUUCUGAAAUAUUUUUAAAUGUUUUUUAUUUCAUUGACAUAUGAGUUAUUGAUUUCUUACUGUUAUUGACUUCUAACUUAAGCUUUUUAUGCUUAGAGAACAUAAUCUAUAAUUUUGGCCUUUUGAAAUUUAAUGAGACUUGUACUGUAGUCCCAUAUGUGGUGCAUCUUGAUGAACAUUUUAUGUGCAUUUGAAAAGAAUUUAUGUUUUACAGUCAGUGGAAUAUUGUUUUCUAAUUUGUCAUUUGGAUUAAGGUACUGAUGAUAUCAUUUGAAGCAAUGUUACUAAGUAUAUAUGCCUUUGCUGUUAUGAUGUGCAUGGAAUAUGUACUCUUUUAUUAUUGUAAAAAUUUUCCCUAUAUCUGGUAAAACUUCC